rnacentral:rRNA from 1 species
UACGGAGGGAGCUAGCGUUGUUCGGAAUUACUGGGCGUAAAGCGCACGUAGGCGGCUUUGUAAGUUAGAGGUGAAAGCCCGGGGCUCAACCCCGGAAUUGCCUUUAAGACUGCAUCGCUUGAAUCCAGGAGAGGUGAGUGGAAUUCCGAGUGUAGAGGUGAAAUUCGUAGAUAUUCGGAAGAACACCAGUGGCGAAGGCGGCUCACUGGACUGGUAUUGACGCUGAGGAGCGAAAGCGUGGGGAGCGAACAGG